AGAGUUUGAUCAUGGCUCAGGACGAACGCUGGCGGCGUGCCUAAUACAUGCAAGUCGUGCGAGGAACUUCGGUUCCUAGCGGCGGACGGGUGAGUAACACGUAGGCAACCUGCCUGUAAGAUCGGGAUAACAUAGGGAAACUUAUGCUAAUACCGAAUAGAGUUUUGCUUCGCAUGAAGCGAAACGGAAAGGUGGCGCAA
rnacentral:rRNA from 1 species